CAAAUAAGAUUCAAUUUAGAGGAGCCAUCCGACACGGAAACUGCUUCAGUCUCGUCUCUCGCAUCGACCAAACUAACGAGCACCAUUUUAAACUGAUGACUGUUUGUUUAAAUUCUGUUUUACAUGACUUGGACGGCAAACCUUUGAGAGUUGCCAAAGUUGGAUUUACUUUUUUGCCACUUCACUCAGUCCCAGCGGUGGUAUUUAGACCAGUUACGUCCUUAUUCUAAAACAAAUUAGCCGAUUAUAUUUUAUCUACAUGACUAUUUUGUCGGUUUUAUUUACAGAUCCCGCUUGAACAUGGAGAGUCUGUAAAUAAAAUACUCCGCAUGCUAUCGCCUGAUCGAGGAUCCAGCUUUUGCUUCACAUGACAAUGCUUUAUUUUACUGCUGUGAUACUUAAAUGCAAAGAUGACAAAUGCACACUAAUUAGUUAAAUGACUGCCUGUACAUUUUUGCUUAAUUUAGGUACAGAACAUUUGCUGAGAAAACAGAGCUUCAAGAAGUUACUUCAGAGUAAUUAAAGACAGAAGUAGAAGGAGAUUAUUCCCAUGAAAAGAUAACAAAUUUAACACUUAAAUGUAAAUGAUUUAAAAUAUUUGAUCAGUGUUGAUAGAAAAAAAAAAUACCUACUGAUGAUUGAAUGAGUGUAUUGUUGUGCAUAUUAAAUCAGCACACAGAAUAUUCUGAUUUGCCUUUUUUUUCUUCUGUAAUUGUAGAAUUUAAAACAUAAAGCUUUGAUAAACUAAUGUAUUAACUCAACUGCAGAAAAUACUUUGUCCUGUUUUCUCCUCAUUGAUACUGAUAAACUGCUAUAGUAGCCUAUAAACCACUUGCGCUUAAUGUGAUGCAUGCGUAGUUGAUUUGUUUAGAUGCAUGCGCGUGUUGCUGAUGUACAUAAGACACUGUGUACUAAAAGAGGACUUUAACAUUCACCUUUUUUGUCUAAAAGUGUGCAGUGCAGGAGUGUGUACGCAGACAUUUGUGUUUUGGUACAGACCUUUGAUAAAGAGUUCAUUCAGUGGUGUAGAUCACUUUCCCUGUGCCUCUGCGCCCCAAGGGCCGCUAUCUAAAAAGGCAAUAGAUCCCAGAUAGCUCACUGUGUUCAAUUUGCCAAUGAUAGAUUAUAGUGCCAAUUUAAACAGAUAGGGAUCAAUUUGUCUCAAUGAUCACUCUUUAGGCUGACUGCCAGCAUGCUCUUAAUGUAUUUGUAAAUGCUGGUUGUUUGAAUCGCAGCAGUUAGGUUUAAAGUGAUUAAAAUUGUAGUACACAGAGAAAUCAGUGGUGUAAAUGAUAAAUGAUGUGUUGUUUAGGCUGCUAAAGAUGGAGCAUGCAUAUGACUACCUCAGGAAACAGCAUUGUAGGAGCAUUUACCAGAAGGUCAAUGGUUUAACUCUGAGGACUCACUGGGAAAGUAUGGGUAGGGGAAUUGUGUGAUAAGUGCUCUCUAACCCUUAGGAACUACUGCUGAAGUGCCCUUCGGCAAUGCAGCUUAAACCCAUCUGUCCCAGUGGAGCUGCACAACGACCAGCAGUACAAGACCGUGGUUGUACUGGGCACUUGUGCUGGUGUGUCUCUUUGAGAGUGACCUGCCCUCCCUUUUCUUUUAAAGAGGCAGAAUGGGCAGUCCACUCGCCUCACACUUUUUUUUUUUUUUCUAUAAACUCAGACAGUGAAAAAGUUGGAGAGAAGACACAGGAGAGAAAGCCCUGGCUGUAUUCAGCUGUAAGCCAGCCCAUGGUUCACAUGUGGCCCCAGAGGCAGCAGACAGUGGAUUGAAUUACUGUAACUCAAGGUGUAAUGCGGUAGCAGUGUGGGAUAUGUUAAAAAAAAAAAAAAUACACAAAGAUUCUCACUUCAGCUUCCUAUUGUAGCAAAUCAUCUCCAGAUUAACUUCUGAAAAUUCAAUUACAGUCAUUUCUUUAAUAAAAAUAACAAUAAUAAUAGCAGACACGCUUUGUACAGUGAUUGUAUAAUUUACCACUGAAAUUGUGUUGUCCUGUGAAAUCCUUGUAUCUCCAUUUUUAACCAUUUUCACGUGUCGUAUGUGUUAAUUAUGUGUGAACCACUAUAGUUUACAUAUGGACUGUACGUUGUGUGGAUGAAAGCAGCCCAACCAUCACAAAAUUCUACUGGAUAAACCAAGUAAAGCAGCUUCAGUUGACAAUAAUAUAACUGUUUUCUUUGUUUUUUGUUUGUAUUUUUGGAAUACAGCGUUUUUAUGUGAAUUGUACAUGCAGUACAACUCAAUGAAUAACAUACGCUAGUACUGUUAAAGUAGUGUUGUAUGUGAUUUUCAAUUUGCAGUGUUAAUAAAGUUUGAUUUCAAACA